rnacentral:rRNA from 1 species
UACGUAGGGUGCAAGCGUUAAUCGGAAUUACUGGGCGUAAAGCGUGCGUAGACGGUUAUUUAAGUCAGGUGUGAAAGCCCCGGGCUCAACCUGGGAAUUGCAUUGAGACUGAAUAGCUAGGGUGCGGAAGAGGAAGCGGAAUUUCCGGUGUAGCGGUGAAAUGCGUAGAUAUCGGAAGGAACACCAGUGGCGAAAGCGGCUUCCUGGUCCAGCACC